UACGUAGGGUGCAAGCGUUAUCCGGAAUUAUUGGGCGUAAAGAGCUCGUAGGUGGUUUGUCGCGUUGUUCGUGAAAACUCACAGCUCAACUGUGGGCGUGCGGGCGAUACGGGCAGACUAGAGUACUGCAGGGGAGACUGGAAUUCCUGGUGUAGCGGUGGAAUGCGCAGAUAUCAGGAGGAACACCGAUGGCGAAGGCAGGUCACUGGGCCGCAACUGGACGCUGGAGGAGCGAAAGCAUGGGGAGCGAACAGG
rnacentral:rRNA from 1 species